ACAGCGCUAUUUAGGUUAGAGUUUGAUCCUGGCUCAGGACGAACGCUGGCGGCGUGCUUAACACAUGCAAGUCGAACGGUGACCUCGGAGCUUGCUCCGGGCGAUCAGUGGCGAACGGGUGAGUAACACGUGAGUAACCUGCCCCAGACUCUGGGAUAACCCCGGGAAACCGGAGCUAAUACCGGAUACGACACGAAGAGGCAUCUCUAUCGUGUGGAAAGUUUUUCGGUCUGGGAUGGACUCGCGGCCUAUCAGCUAGUUGGUGAGGUAACGGCUCACCAAGGCGACGACGGGUAGCCGGCCUGAGAGGGCGACCGGCCACACUGGGACUGAGACACGGCC
rnacentral:rRNA from 1 species